rnacentral:rRNA from 1 species
UGGAUCCAGACUUUGAUUAUGGCUCAGGAUGAACGCCAGCUACAGGCUCAACACAUGCAAGUCGAGGGGAAACGACAUCGAAAGCUUGCUUUUGAUGGGUGUCGACCGGCGCACGGGCGAGUAACGCGUAUCCAACCUGCCCACCACUUGGGGAUAACCUUGCGAAAGUAAGACUAAUACCCAAUGAUAUCCCACGAAGGCAUCCGAAUGGGAUUAAAGAUUUAUCGGUGAUGGAUGGGGAUGCGUCUGAUUAGCUUGUUGGCGGGGUAACGGCCCACCAAGGCUACGAUCAGUAGGGGUUCUGAGAGGAAGGUCCCCCACAUUGGAACUGAGACACGGUCCAAACUCCUACGGGAGGCAGCAGUGAGGAAUAUUGGUCAUGGGCGAGAGCCUGAACCAGCCAAGUAGCGUGCAGGAUGACGGCCCUAUGGGUUGUAAACUGCUUUUAUAAGGGAAUAAAGUGAGUCUCGUGAGACUUUUUGCAUGUACCUUAUGAAUAAGGACCGGCUAAUUCCGUGCCAGCAGCCGCGGUAAUACGGAAGGUCCGGGCGUUAUCCGGAUUUAUUGGGUUUAAAGGGAGCGUAGGCCGGAGAUUAAGCGUGUUGUGAAAUGUAGUGGCUCAACCUCUGCACUGCAGCGCGAACUGGUCUUCUUGAGUACGCACAACGUGGGCGGAAUUCGUGGUGUAGCGGUGAAAUGCUUAGAUAUCACGAAGAACUCCGAUUGCGAAGGCAGCUCACGGGAGCGCAACUGACGCUGAAGCUCGAAAGUGCGGGUAUCGAACAGGAUUAGAUACCCUGGUAGUCCGCACGGUAAACGAUGGAUGCCCGCUGUUGGCCUGAAUAGGUCAGCGGCCAAGCGAAAGCAUUAAGCAUCCCACCUGGGGAGUACGCCGGCAACGGUGCAACUCAAAUGAAUUGACGGA